GGAGUUAGCCGGUGCUUCUUCUGUGAGUGAUGUCCUUCCUGCCGGCUAUUAACCCGCAGGCCUUCUUCCUCACUGAAAGUGCUUUACAACCCGAAGGCCUUCUUCACACACGCGGCAUGGCUGGAUCAGGGUUGCCCCCAUUGUCCAAUAUUCCCCACUGCUGCCUCCCGUAGGAGUCUGGGCCGUGUCUCAGUCCCAGUGUGGCUGAUCAUCCUCUCAGACCAGCUACGGAUCGUCGCCUUGGUGAGCCGUUACCUCACCAACCAGCUAAUCCGACAUAGGCUCAUCCGAUAGCGCGAGGCCCGAAGGUCCCCCGCUUUCCCCCGUAGGGCGUAUGCGGUAUUAGCCUGGGUUUCCCCCAGGUUAUCCCCCACUACCGGGCAGAUUCCUAUGCAUUACUCACCCGUCCGCCGCUCGCCACCAGGGAGCAAGCUCCCCGUGCUGCCGCUCGACUUGCAUGUGUUAGGCCUGCCGCCAGCGUUCAAUCUGAGCCAGAAUCGAACCCUGA
rnacentral:rRNA from 1 species